rnacentral:rRNA from 1 species
UACGAAGGGUGCAAGCGUUACUCGGAAUUACUGGGCGUAAAGCGUGCGUAGGUGGUUUGUUAAGUCUGAUGUGAAAGCCCUGGGCUCAACCUGGGAAUUGCAUUGGAUACUGGCAGGCUAGAGUGCGGUAGAGGGGGAUGGAAUUCCGCGUGUAGCAGUGAAAUGCGUAGAUAUGCGGAGGAACACCGGUGGCGAAGGCGGCCCGCUGGGCAGUGGCUGACGCUGAGGCGCGACAGCGUGGGGAGCAAACAGG